CCAAGGGUUUUCACCGGACGAGUAUCGAUUUUGACAACGUACCCAAAACGUGAUCUAGCUGAUUUGGUCGCGACCACCACGAUGAAUGGCAUCUUUAGUCCUCAAGAUACUCUUAUUGUGGAAUUACGAUGACCGUCGAUAAAUUAUUAGUAGCCGUAUUAUACUUUUGCAAUGUAAUAUUCGAUGAUCUUUUUAGUUUCUCCGCCACUCAGCUAGUAAGGUAUUUAUGAAGUUUGGUCUUUGUACAACAAUGUAAAAUAUGUAACAAUUUAAAAAACUGAGAAAAUGUACCCGUCAAAUCUGACAAUUCUCCUCCUCGCUGUCUCAGUUAUCGUCUUAUUAUUGAACCGCAUUGAAUUUUAUUCAUAGUCUAGUUAGUUCUCAGGUCAAAGUUAGUUUAUCGUUACGUUAAUUUCGCGUACAAAAAGACGAUAUUUGGCAAUGUCAGUUAAUUACAUAUUUAAGAGGAGUAUUUACAAAGUUGUAAAUUUCAGAUUUGAAUGUGAAUUGGUUGUAUGCAUUAUCUUAUCACUCACAUAAGAUCAAAUUUGUUUUGUUUUUGGGGGAACUUUGAGAAACCUCAUGACAGACCCCAGAUAAACUUUUCAGCUUCCUCUUGGCUCUUGACGUAGCAAAGAUAAGAAAUUUGAGGAUUACAACUUCAAGUGUUUUUUAUGAUUUUAAGUGGGCAAUUUUGAUAAGGUCUACCUUCUCACAUGAUGUUGGUUAAUUAGUUACAUAUGAAUUUAUUGUUCUUACUUGCGCACAUACUCAGCGAUUGGGCACGGCAUGUAAUUUAUGACAACAACAUAUAUAGAAGAAACGUAAAUAGCGUAGUUAAGUAGUAUAGUUAAUUAAUUAGUUCCGUUUUACAGUACAUCUGCAAUGAGACUUAUUAUUCGAGAACUUAUCGAGUCCUCAUCUGCUGUAUAUUUAGUAAGAUUUCAUAUUCAAAGUUUUAAAUCGUAAAAGUUAAUUGGAUCGAAGAAGCCCCUUCAAUGAAUUCUGUAAAACAAGAAAAUUUAAAUAAAUAAAGCAAGCAAAUAACGAGA